rnacentral:pre_miRNA from 1 species
CACUUAAUAUGUGCCCAGAUCUGUUCAUUUUGAUCUCACUGAGUCCUGUGAGGUUGGCAUUGUUGUCUGGCAUUGUCUGAUGAUAUACAACAGUGCCAACCUCACAGGACUCAGUGAGAUGAAACUGAUUAGGAUUACGAAGGUGU